GUCGAGCGGAAACGACACUAACAAUCCUUCGGGUGCGUUAAUGGGCGUCGAGCGGCGGACGGGUGAGUAAUGCCUAGGAAAUUGCCUUGAUGUGGGGGAUAACCAUUGGAAACGAUGGCUAAUACCGCAUAAUGCCUACGGGCCAAAGAGGGGGACCUUCGGGCCUCUCGCGUCAAGAUAUGCCUAGGUGGGAUUAGCUAGUUGGUGAGGUAAUGGCUCACCAAGGCGACGAUCCCUAGCUGGUCUGAGAGGAUGAUCAGCCACACUGGAACUGAGACACGGUCCAGACUCCUACGGGAGGCAGCAGUGGGGAAUAUUGCACAAUGGGCGAAAGCCUGAUGCAGCCAUGCCGCGUGUAUGAAGAAGGCCUUCGGGUUGUAAAGUACUUUCAGUUGUGAGGAAGGGGGUAGCGUUAAUAGCGCUAUCUCUUGACGUUAGCAACAGAAGAAGCACCGGCUAACUCCGUGCCAGCAGCCGCGGUAAUACGGAGGGUGCGAGCGUUAAUCGGAAUUACUGGGCGUAAAGCGCAUGCAGGUGGUUCAUUAAGUCAGAUGUGAAAGCCCGGGGCUCAACCUCGGAACUGCAUUUGAAACUGGUGAACUAGAGUACUGUAGAGGGGGGUAGAAUUUCAGGUGUAGCGGUGAAAUGCGUAGAGAUCUGAAGGAAUACCAGUGGCGAAGGCGGCCCCCUGGACAGAUACUGACACUCAGAUGC
rnacentral:rRNA from 1 species